UACGGGGGGGGCAAGCGUUGUUCGGAAUUACUGGGCGUAAAGGGCGCGUAGGCGGCUUUUCAAGUCGAUUGUGAAAUCCCCGGGCUUAACCUGGGAACUGCAGUCGAGACUGUCUAGCUAGAGUAUGGGAGAGGGAAGUGGAAUUUCAGGUGUAGCGGUGAAAUGCGUAGAUAUCUGAAGGAACAUCAGUGGCGAAAGCGACUUCCUGGACCAAUACUGACGCUCAUGUGCGAAAGCGUGGGGAGCAAACAGG
rnacentral:rRNA from 1 species